AAAAAGACAAACUCUUCUGGUUUCCGUGUUCAACGUUUGACCGUCCAUCUUAUUUAAAAGAAUUAUGAAAAAAAUUAAAAAGAUAAGUCACGUAUAAAUAUUAAUCAUGUUUUAUCAUCUAACGACAAUGAAAAUACUAAUUAUACAAAAAUUUCAUAUAAGACGGGCAGUCAAACGUUGACACGGGAACUCACGGUUUAUCUUUUU
rfam:Oryza meridionalis cultivar OR44 (W2112) chromosome 7, whole genome shotgun sequence.